AGAGUUUGAUCCUGGCUCAGAACGAACGCUGGCGGCGCGCCUAAUACAUGCAAGUCGAGCGAGAAGGUGUAGCAAUACACUUGUAAAGCGGCGAACGGGUGAGGAAUGCAUGGGUAACCUACCCUCGAGUGGGGAAUAACUAGCCGAAAGGUUAGCUAAUACCGCAUACGUUUCCGGAACUUCGGUUUCGGAAAGAAAGCAAUACCGUGGGUAUUGCGCUCAUGGAUGGGCUCAUGUCCUAUCAGCUUGUUGGUGAGGUAACGGCUCACCAAGGCUUCGACGGGUAGCUGGUCUGAGAGGACGAUCAGCCACACUGGCACUGCGACACGGGCCAGACUCCUACGGGAGGCAGCAGUAAGGAAUAUUGCGCAAUGGACGAAAGUCUGACGCAGCGACGCCGCGUGGGGGAUGAAGGUCUUCGGAUUGUAAACCCCUUUCGGGAGGGAAGAUGGAGUGGGUAACCACUUGGACGGUACCUCCAGAAGCAGCCACGGCUAACUUCGUGCCAGCAGCCGCGGUAAUACGAAGGUGGCAAGCGUUGUUCGGAUUCACUGGGCGUACAGGGAGCGUAGGCGGUUGGGUAAGCCCUCCGUGAAAUCUCCGGGCCUAACCCGGAAAGUGCAGAGGGGACUGCUCAGCUAGAGGAUGGGAGAGGAGCGCGGAAUUCCCGGUGUAGCGGUGAAAUGCGUAGAGAUCGGGAGGAAGGCCGGUGGCGAAGGCGGCGCUCUGGAACAUUUCUGACGCUGAGGCUCGAAAGCGUGGGGAGCAAACAGGAUUAGAUACCCUGGUAGUCCACGCCU
rnacentral:rRNA from 1 species